rnacentral:rRNA from 1 species
GAUGGACGCUGGCGGCGUGCCUAAUACAUGCAAGUCGAGCGAACGGACGAGAAGCUUGCUUCUCUGAUGUUAGCGGCGGACGGGUGAGUAACACGUGGAUAACCUACCUAUAAGACUGGGAUAACUUCGGGAAACCGUAGCUAAUACCGGAUAAUAUUUUGAACCGCAUGGUUCAAAAGUGAAAGACGGUCUUGCUGUCACUUAUAGAUGGAUCCGCGCUGCAUUAGCUAGUUGGUAAGGUAACGGCUUACCAAGGCAACGAUGCAUAGCCGACCUGAGAGGGUGAUCGGCCACACUGGAACUGAGACACGGUCCAGACUCCUACGGGAGGCAGCAGUAGGGAAUCUUCCGCAAUGGGCGAAAGCCUGACGGAGUAACGCCGCGUGAGUGAUGAAGGUCUUCGGAUCGUAAAACUCUGUUAUUAGGGAAGAACAUAUGUGUAAGUAACUGUGCACAUCUUGACGGUACCUAAUCAGAAAGCCACGGCUAACUACGUG